rnacentral:rRNA from 2 species
UACGUAGGGGGCAAGCGUUAUCCGGAAUCAUUGGGCGUAAAGCGCGUGUAGGCGGUUCACCAAGUCCGCUCUGAAAGCCCAGGGCUCAACCCUGGGAGGCGGGUGGAUACUGGUGGACUAGAGUCCGGAAGAGGAGAUUGGAAUUCCUGGUGUAGCGGUGAAAUGCGCAGAUAUCAGGAGGAACACCAACAGCGAAGGCAGAUCUCUGGGACGUGACUGACGCUGAGACGCGAAAGCGUGGGGAGCAAACAGG